rnacentral:rRNA from 1 species
GACGAACGCUGGCGGCGUGCUUAACACAUGCAAGUCGAACGCUGAAGCCCUUUCGGGGGUGGAUGAGUGGCGAACGGGUGAGUAACACGUGGGUAAUCUGCCCUGUACUUCGGGAUAAGCCUUGGAAACGGGGUCUAAUACCGGAUAGGACCUGUCCUCGCAUGGGGGUGGGUGGAAAGUUCCGGCGGUAUGGGCGGAGCCCGCGGCCUAUCAGCUUGUUGGUGGGGUAGUGGCCUACCAAGGCGACGACGGGUAGCCGGCCUGAGAGGGUGACCGGUCACACUGGGACUGAGACACGGCCCAGACUCCUACGGGAGGCAGCAGUGGGGAAUCUUGCGCAAUGGGCGAAAGCCUGACGCAGCAACGCCGCGUGGGGGAUGACGGCCUUCGGGUUGUAAACCUCUUUCGACAUCGACGAAGGGGCCCUGUUGUGGGGUUUUGACGGUAGGUGUAGAAGAAGCACCGGCUAACUACGUGCCAGCAGCCGCCGUAA